rnacentral:lncRNA from 1 species
GUACUUAUAUGCUCAACAAAUCUGGGUACUAUCAACGAACAGAGCAGUAAAAGACCCAAGAAUUUGAAGGAUAACAAAAAUUAAACAGAGGAAUUCAAAGCAAGCAAAUAUGAAAAGGGGUCAAACAACCCAUGAAUUUGCAGCAAUAAACAGAGGAAUUUACGAUUAGAAGAGAAAUCAUAGGUAACAAUCAGACCGAUCAAAACCCCACCACAAAUCAGAAGAGUGGUAACUGACGAUCCACGAAAUUGAGUCUCCCGUACUGGCACAAGACUCGACUGUUAAACCAGACACGCCUAAUGUCCCGGAACCAGUAGCUAACAUUGUUCAAAGCCAACCAGAAGUGGUGCCAGUGACUGACGCUGCUGAGAAACCAGAUCUGUGUCUAUGGCCCUUAUUCCCAUUAUCAUGAAUUUAAUUUCAU